UGGCUAUGACUGGGUGUUGAUUGAUGU
rnacentral:piRNA from 1 species